rnacentral:rRNA from 1 species
CAAAGGUGAGCCAGUAUAGGAUGGACCCGCGUCUGAUUAGCUAGUUGGUAAGGUAACGGCUUACCAAGGCGACGAUCAGUAGCCGACCUGAGAGGGUGAUCGGCCACAUUGGAACUGAGACACGGUCCAAACUCCUACGGGAGGCAGCAGUGGGGAAUAUUGCACAAUGGGCGAAAGCCUGAUGCAGCAACGCCGCGUGAGUGAUGAAGGCCUUCGGGUCGUAAAACUCUGUCCUCAAGGAAGAUAAUGACGGUACUUGAGGAGGAAGCCCCGGCUAACUACGUGCCAGCAGCCGCGGUAAUACGUAGGGGGCUAGCGUUAUCCGGAUUUACUGGGCGUAAAGGGUGCGUAGGCGGUCUUUCAAGUCAGGAGUGAAAGGCUACGGCUCAACCGUAGUAAGCUCUUGAAACUGGGAGACUUGAGUGCAGGAGAGGAGAGUGGAAUUCCUAGUGUAGCGGUGAAAUGCGUAGAUAUUAGGAGGAACACCAGUUGCGAAGGCGGCUCUCUGGACUGUAACUGACGCUGAGGCACGAAAGCGUGGGGAGCAAACAGGAUUAGAUACCCUGGUAGUCCACGCUGUAAACGAUGAGUACUAGGUGUCGGGGGUUACCCCCUUCG